CGCCGCGGCUCCUUGCCCAAUCGCAUCCACACCAGGCGAACCCUAGCCUCCUUUCCCCCGAUCCCCCAGCCGCCGAACGGCCUCGCUCCUCCUUCCCUCCCGCUGUGCCCUCUCCUUGCUCGCAGCCGCCUCCUUUACACCUCCGCCCGAGCUCCGCCUUCCUUGCCGAUCUCCCUCCUCCUGCCUCCUCCCUCCCGCGCCUCUCCCUCCUCCUGCCUCCUCUCUCCCGCUUCACCACAGCCGUCGGUCCCCUCCCUCCCCGUCCACCCUCUCCCUCUCGUUAGCCGCUGCUGCACGAACCUCUCGGAUGGGUGCUGGGUAGAAGGUCGCGGCGAGUCUGCCACAAAGGAAGCAGCAGGGACUUGGUGGAUGUCUUUGCUCUGCAGGGGAGUGAAAGAAGGAGAUGAGGGAGAAAGAGAGAGGAAAGAGGAGACGGAAGUGCGGCGGCUGAUGGGACAUGGUUGACGGCGGCUCGAUCAGCUCCUGGAUUGAGAGCUGCCAGGAGGCUGGGGCUUGGGCGCGAUGCAUGGGAGGCUGCAGUCCACCUCUUCCUUGUGGUGCAGCGGACGCCGGCAUCAGCGGGUGGGCGACAGACCGCGGCCUCAGCGGGUGGGCGACGACACCUGCAGCUGGUGCUAUACCCAUGGAUUCUGGCACAACUCGAAACAUUCAGGUGAUUGAAGGUUAGCUGUUCUAAUCAAGGAAAUAACAUAUAUCUGCAUGGUUGUUAUUCUUGUUGUUCAUCGACGGUUGCUGUGGUUGAGGCAUGUUAUGCUCGGUGCUAUGCCUACAUGUGGUUUUGAUCGUCUCCCAGGAAAUCUGAACCACGCACAUCUCUUGAUUUUGCAGGUACGAGCAUACAUAUAACAUGGGUUGCCAUGAAAGAUGUCUUCCCAUCUCAGGUGAUGAAGAUGGCGUACCUUUAUUUUUUGACACAAGUACUGAUCGGUGUUGGAAUUGGGCUUUAUAAACUUGGCUUUCCAGCAGUUGGUUUUCCUCCAUCGCCUGCUUAUUUUCCCUCUUCGAAGAGUGAAUAAAAGAUACAUGAUGAAAUACAGGUGGACAAGUGUGUGGAAAUUGGACUUCCAGAACUCAUCCUAAUGGUCGCAUUUUCUCAGGUACACAUUACAAAUUUUUAUGAAUUUCUGCUGGACCAAACCAUUGUUUAAAUGGUUUUGAAUGAGGUUAUGUUGUACUAAUCAUGUUUGUUUCCUAGACGAUAUUUUCCUCAUCUGUUGCAUUCUGGAAAGUGUCUUUGGUCGGUUUUCUGUUCUUUUCACUGUUUCAAUCGUGUGACUAUACACAUGUAUCCUCACAAUUAGUGGCGCUUACAAGAAUGGCAGGCCUACUUGUAGCUUUUCUUAUGUAGUUAAAUAAAACAACCCAGGGUCUCACACUUUACUUCCUUUCUAAUAUAAUAAGGCUGCUAUUGCCUGUUAAUACUUCACAUUGGUGAUGAGCUUUACACCAGUUAUAGUUCAUCGAUUAUCUUCUGCCUUUCUGAUAAACAUAAUUAUAUGUUAAUUUGCUAUAUUUUUUUCUUACUUUUUUUUUAUCAAACUGCCAUAUAUGAUACAUGAAGAAGCAUUUACCUGAAGGCGUUAAUAGUGUUUUCACAUAGAAUUUGUUCUUUUUAUGCUCCCUUAAUUAGAUGCUCAAGAAACCUGAUAAGCGUCACGUUGAUUCAGACUUGGUGCUAGAUAUGUUAGCCCCCAUUUAUCCUUGACAAGUACCAUAUUCUCAAAUCUAUAUGGUUAGUUGUACUUAUUUUACGUUGGAGCUACAGAUGCAUCUCAGUCAUUUACGGAAACUAAAAUCUGCAUCUUCAGCUCAUAGUUUGCCAAAAUUUCUUGAGAUUUAUUCAUAUUGUUCUUAGGUACUUCAAGUCAAACUUUCUUGAGAUUUAUUCAUGUUGUUCUUAGGUACUUCAAAUCAAACUCUACAUGCAAUUGAUGGGGCUACAUGAUAGUCACUUUAAUAUAUCUUCUUGGAAGCCGCUUAGUGUUUCCAUGAAUAAUUGUUGCUGGUCUGUUGCAUGCCUUCAUUGUUUGGUGGGCUACUUCCUUCAUGGUGUGGUUGAAGAAUUUUCAGAGGCACGGUUCAUCUUGCGUGCAACUUUUAGCUUGAGUUUCUAUUGACACAUUACAUUUCCUUUUCCUGUAGACCUCUCCUUUUUCAUUUUAUUAUACCUGGGUGUAAUAGCAAGUCGUCUAUAAUCAUUUUGUUUAACUACAAUCCGAUGCAAAAAACUUUUGUUUAGUCCUCAUAGUUCAUCCAUUAUAUGUUUGCUUUCAAACCAAAGAAAUCGGGGGUCCAGGUUCUGAUCAUGCUCCGAUUGAGUCUAUGUAGCCGUCCUUGUUUUUUUUCUAUACGCUUGCAUCAUCUAGGUUCUGACCAUGGCACAAUCUUGUUUCAAAUUUGUUCUCCUAUAUGUAUGCGCUGUGAUGAUUGAUGAGGCGUAUUGGUGGAAAUAAAUCUGAAGCAAAUAAGAGCUGCGAGCAACUGGUUGUGCCCCUAUUAACCUGCUCAAUAUUCGUGUUGUUUGCCUGUCAGUCGAAUGCCCGCUAUUCAGCAGACAGGUAUCUCCAUUUCUUAAAUCCCUUUCUCUAUUCAACGCCCAGUUGAUACGUGGUUAGGAAUCAGAUAAAUUUUACUCAUAUAAUUUCAUAUAUCUAAAAUACCGUGUCCAGAUAGCUUAGAAACCAGCGUUAGAAAGGACCUGAUACACAUUACAAUUAUGGACUGCUGAUAUACCUGAUGCAUUUCUUCAUGAUGGUCGGUUCCCUUUCUCCAGAUCUUACAUAUUUAAUUAUAUGAGUUCGGAAGCCAAAACUGAUUGAGAUCUUUUGUUCUUACUUGCAGAUGUUCUGUUAUUCAGAGUACUUCAGUUUCCAGUCUCUAUAUAUUAAUCAAAUUAUGGGUUAUUUUGAACCUUAUAGGCUUUUAUAUUAUGUUCAGUUAUGCUUCCAUGGGUUUUUCAUAUGUAUUAACAAAAGAACCAGACUACUAUUUUGUUUAUACUUGAAUCAAAGGACGUACAAUUAAUUUGCUAUUAUGGAAGGACUGAGUAGGCAGCUAGCUGAAUGAGAGGACAAUCAUGACAAGCAAACCAACACAUAAAUAGUAAUCCCACAAUUUUUUACAACUGCAUUCCAGUGAACUUUGGUAUGGAUAUGCAUUUUUAUCCUUGGGAGUACUUUGGAUUUUAAGUGGGAAUCAUAGUUCUUUUCUUCUUAACUUUGGUAUGGCAAGCAAUGCAGGUGAUAUUCCUAAUGGUUGCUGUUGACGCUGAAAAACUACUCUUGAAGCACUAGAAGUGCCCUCUCUAUGGUGCAUCACUCACUGGAUCCAGAUGGGCAACCUUCCGCUUCAAAAUUAGAAGAGCGCAGUUUUUGCCUGUUGUCAUUGCUUACAAAGAGUAAUCUACCAUGUCCCUAAUAUACAUACAUAAUUGUUGCACCAUCACAAGAUUUCCGUGAUAUGCAUGUGCAUACCUUUCUUUACUGUGAAUUAAUUGACAUGAUGAUGACAGGAGGAAAGGCAGGCUGUCAUUUCUAAAGGUUGAGAUUUUCUGUUUUAAGGAAUGGCAACCAUCUGUUCCUUGUCUGGCAUAUGUAUUUGCUUUGCCCUCUGUUUUUGAUAAGGCAAGGCAGAUCAAAUAAACACAGUAAUCGUUUAAUCCUUCACUAUAUUCUGAAAAAAGCACUAUGAUUUUCCGUGUCAGGGUAGUACUAUGUCAAAAUGAUGCUUUGUACUACAUGUUCUGGUGUAUUCCUUGACAAUAUUAGGCAUUUGCAUUGUCCUUUGCUUUGUUUGUUCAUGCUGCAUUAGUUUUUUUAGUUAUAGCCGGUUUUAUUUCUGAUUCGAACUAUCAUGUUUUCAUUUGUUUCUUAUAAAUUCUUUUUGAUAAGAAGAUGUUGUCUUCCAGUUGUAUAUUUGUUCUCUUGAUUUCAUUUGUUUCUUAUGCAAGGGUUCUCAAAUUAUUUUUGUGGGCAAGAUAAAACUUAAAAGGUGAUCUGGGACAAGUGGAAGGAGGGAAGCCGCUGUAAGAUCGAUAAUGACUUGCCGACAAGAGCAUGUUCGUUCAGAAGUUUCCUUACUAAAAGUUAUUUAUCUGUAGCAAGUGUUUCUAUUGGAACUAUCAAAUUCAAACUCCUAGGUGUCUAUGUCAGGAUGUAGGACUUUGUCCGGGCAGAGAUAUCCCCUCUGAUCUUUUCGUGAAUCCUUUCAUACUUCUUUCUGUAAAGUGCUGCUGAUUUUAAUAAAAUCCCUUUGUUCAAAAAACAA